CAGUAGGGUUGGGGAAGAAAGGUAGAGAGAAGGAGGAGCUUCUCUCUCUAGGCCUAUCUCGACAUCUUUUUUUUUACAUGAAACUAUUCUUCCUACUCUAGGAAACAACAAGUAUUUUAAAGCAUUCUCUAUUUAAUAUUUCAAAUCCCUUGAACUCAAACCAACGCAAAUAAAUGGAAGAGAUAUGACUAUUUUAUAAUUUUUUCCUAGAUGCACCAACACAUAGCAGAAUCUAAAAUGCAUAGUAAAGGUUUCCCAAAUGAGAAAGCAUACUGCAUAUCAAAUGAAGAAUAUAUAAGAGUAUUAUAGAAUAAACAUUAAGAGUAAAUACAAAGUUUAUUUCUGAAAGCAGAACAAACAACAAACACAUAACUACAGUCACGACACAUAACUUUAUAAGCCAACUAAAAUAUCUUAUCAAGAGCCAUCAAAUUAGAUACCUUAUUUCAUAUGAAAAUAAAUCAUACUUAAAGAGCUUAAUGGUACAGAGGGAAGUAAGUUUGGAUGUAGAUGUUCUUUCAGCCAAAGAAAAACAAGAAGAGGUGAGAACACCAACCUUUUAUUAUCGCCAUCGCGGACAAACUUUACACCUUCAUUACACAGAUUACACAUGCCCAACUGCACGGGGAUAAACUCGGAAGUCUAAUUGGAGCUCAGCAAGCUGCUACCGCAGAAAAAAGCUCCAAACGCAGAUGGAAUCCAGCUUGAAGAACCCAGAAAACAUCAGAGGAUGUCCUUUGGAACCAAUGAAAGGAUAGCUACUGAUUUCUUUGGUUUCCAGAACUUUUAACUCUUUAUUUUUUUCGUUUUUUUUAGAUCUAAACAUUGAAUUUGAACUCCAAAAGUUCUAAGUUUUCAACUUCUUCUUUUUCGUAUGAGAAUGUGUGUGUCAAGAAAGGAUUAGUAAGCAAUCGUAAUUUUGUGUGUGCACGCUCGAAAAAUUAUCCUGUGAAGGAGCGCCGUUUUCACUAUUUUUAGGGGUGAAUCGUCUAGGUCUAAAAAUCUGAUAGUGGUCUUCUUCUCAUAUAAGGGUAAGGAUGAAAGAGAUGGGCUUAGGUUUGGUGGAUCUGGGCUGGGCAAUUUAUUUG
rnacentral:lncRNA from 1 species